UACAGAGGUGGCAAGCGUUGUUCGGAAUUACUGGGCGUAAAGGGCGCGUAGGUGGCCUUUUGAGUCAGACGUGAAAUCCCCCGGCUUAACCUGGGAACUGCGUCUGAUACUGGAAGGCUUGAGUGCGGGAGAGGGAUGUGGAAUUCCAGGUGUAGCGGUGAAAUGCGUAGAUAUCUGGAGGAACACCGGUGGCGAAGGCGGCAUCCUGGACCGACACUGACGCUGAGGCGCGAAAGCGUGGGGAGCAAACAGG
rnacentral:rRNA from 1 species